GGUUUCUCUGUGUAGCCUUGGCUGUCCUGGAACUCACUCUGUAGACCAGGCUGGCCUCGAACUCAGAAAUCCACCUGCCUCUGCCUCCUGAGUGCUGGGAUUAAAGGCAUGCGCCACCAUGCCCG
ensembl:miRNA Gm25960 predicted gene, 25960